rnacentral:rRNA from 1 species
UACGUAGGGUGCGAGCGUUGUCCGGAAUCAUUGGGCGUAAAGAGCUUGUAGGCGGCUUGUCGCGUCUGCUGUGAAAAUCCGAGGCUCAACCUCGGACUUGCAGUGGGUACGGGCAGGCUAGAGUGUGGUAGGGGAGACUGGAAUUCCUGGUGUAGCGGUGAAAUGCGCAGAUAUCAGGAGGAACACCGAUGGCGAAGGCAGGUCUCUGGGCCACUACUGACGCUGAGAAGCGAAAGCAUGGGGAGCGAACAGG